GCGGGAAUAGCUCAGUUGGUAGAGCUUCACGUUGCCAACGUGACUGUCGCGGGUUCGAGUCCCGUUUCCCGCUCCA
rnacentral:tRNA from 1 species